GAUGAACGCUGGCGGCGUGCCUAAUACAUGCGAGUCGAGCGAACAGAUGAGAAGCUUGCUUCUCUGAUGUUAGCGGCGGACGGGUGAGUAACACGUGGGUAACCUACCUAUAAGACUGGGAUAACUCCGGGAAACCGGGGCUAAUACCGGAUAAUAUUUUGAACCGCAUGGUUCAAUAGUGAAAGACGGUUUCGGCUGUCACUUAUAGAUGGACCCGCGCCGUAUUAGCUAGUUGGUAAGGUAACGGCUUACCAAGGCGACGAUACGUAGCCGACCUGAGAGGGUGAUCGGCCACACUGGAACUGAGACACGGUCCAGACUCCUACGGGAGGCAGCAGUAGGGAAUCUUCCGCAAUGGGCGAAAGCCUGACGGAGCAACGCCGCGUGAGUGAUGAAGGUCUUCGGAUCGUAAAACUCUGUCGUUAGGGAAGAACAAAUUUGUUAGUAACUGAACAAGUCUUGACGGUACCUAACCAGAAAGCCACGGCUAACUACGUGCCAGCCGCCGCAGUAA
rnacentral:rRNA from 1 species